UACGGAGGGUGCAAGCGUUAAUCGGAAUUACUGGGCGUAAAGCGCACGCAGGUGGCUGAGUCAGUCGAUUGUGAAAGCCCUGGGCUUAACCUAGGAAUUGCAGUCGAUACUACUCAGCUAGAGUAUGGGAGAGGGCAGUGGAAUUCCCGGUGUAGCGGUGAAAUGUGUUGAGAUCGGGAGGAACGCCGGUGGCGAAAGCGACAGACUGGGGCUUGGCCGACGCUCAGGCACGAAAGCCAGGGGAGCGAACGGG
rnacentral:rRNA from 1 species